UGUGGUCAAGUUACUAAGGGUGCAUGGUGGAUGCCUUGGUGCCAGAAGCCGAUGAAGGACGUGAUAGGCUGCGAUAAGCCUGGGGUAGCUGUCAAAUAAGCUCCGAUCCCAGGAUGUCCGAAUGGGGAAACCCGUAGGGGGUAAUACUCCUACACCGGCGGUUGAACGCAUAGACCGUCGGAGGCAACCCAGGGAACUGAAACAUCUCAGUACCUGGAGGAAAAGAAAGAAACCUCGACUUCCCUAGUAGCGGCGAGCGAAAAGGAAUCAGCCCAAACCGGGCUUCGGCCCGGGGUUGUGGGCCUGGACACAAGAGGGAAUGCUUCGUAGCAGAAAGGAAUGGAAAGUCCUACCACAGAGGGUGAAAGUCCCGUACGCGAAACAGAGGCGUCCCUUGUCCGGGUACCAGAGUAGCACGGAGCUCGUGGAACUCCGUGUGAAGCAGGGGGGACCACCCCCCAAGGCUAAGUACUCUCUGGCAACCGAUAGUGUAAAAGUAAGGCGACUGAAAGGUGAAAAGAACCCCUUCAAGGGGAGUGAUAAUAGUACCUGAAACCAUGCACUUACAAGCUGUCGGAGCCCUAUGGCCUCCUUCGGGAGGCAACGGGUGACGGCGUACCUUUUGCAGAAUGGGCCGGCGAGUUACUCUACAUGGCCAGGUUAAGCCCCUCAGGGGCGGAGCCGAAGCGAAAGCGAGUGCUAACUGCGCGUUCAGUCGUGUGGAGUAGACCCGAAACCUGUGUGAUCUACGCAUGGCCAGGUUGAAGGGGAUGUAAAAAUCCCUGGAGGACCGAACCCACUAACGUUGAAAAGUUAGGGGAUGAGCUGUGUGGAGGAGUGAAAGUCUUAUCAAACUGGGAGAUAUCUGGUUCUCCCCGAAAUAGCUUUUGGGCUAGCGUCGGGCAACUACUCUAUUGGGGUAGAGCUACUGAAUGAAAACGGGGGGCCCCAAGCCUACCCGUUUCAACCAAACUCCGAAUACCAUAGAGACUAUCCCGGCAGUCAGACCUUGGGUGAUAACAUUCAGGGUCAAGAGGGAAACAGCCCAGAUCGCCAGCUAAGGUCCCAAAAUCAUGCUCAGUGGUUAAGGAAGUUCAGAUGCUGAGACAGCCAGGAUGUUGGCUUAGAAGCAGCCACCAUUUAAAAAGUGCGUAAUAGCUUACUGGUCGAGCAUUUGAGCGCCGAUGAAGAUCGGGGCUAAGCAUGAAACCGAAGCUGCGGAUUUGACUGCGGACCUCGGUCCGUAGUCAUCUGGUAGGGGAGCGUUGCUAACCGCGUUGAAGGUGUACCGUAAGGAAUGCUGGAGCGUUAGCAAGUGAUUAUGCCGGCGUGAGUAACGAUAAGACAGGUGAAAAUCCUGUCCGCCGUAAGCCUAAGGGUUCCUGGGGAAGGGAAAUCCGCCCAGGGUUAGUCGGCACCUUAGUCGAGGCCGAGAGGCGUAGACGAUGGACAGCAGGUUAAUAUUCCUGCACCAGCUAUGUAACGUUUGCACGUGCGGAGUGACGCGGAGCCUUUGGAGGAGAAGCCGAUCGGAAAUGGCUAUCCCGUAGGCAAGGCCGCCGGUAGGCAAAUCCGCCGGCACCAGGCCAAGCUGCAGGGCGAUGGACGAUUGAGUUCAGAGUCCUCGCUGGUUCUGCCAAGAAAAACUUCGUGCGGAGGAGCAUGGCUGACCGUACUAAAACUGACACAGGUAGGCGAGGUGAGUAGCCUCAGGCGCUCGAGAGAAUCCCACUUAAGGAACUAGGCAAUAUGACCCCGUAAGUUCGCAAGAAGGGGAGCCUCCUCACCUUCGGGUGAGAGGCCGCAGAGAAUCGGCUCUGGCGACUGUUUACCAAAAACACAGGUCUCUGCUAACUCGCAAGAGGAUGUAUAGAGACUGACGCUUGCUCGGUGCCGGAAGGUCAAGGAAGCCGGUCAUUCGGAAGACUUCACCGUCGGAAGAAGAAGCUGGCGACUCAAGCCCCGGUUAACGGCGGCCGUAACUAUGACGGUCC
rnacentral:rRNA from 1 species